rnacentral:tRNA from 1 species
AAGAUUUUAAGUUAAGCUCCCAAACUCAUAGCCUUCAAAGCUGUGUAUAUCUAAGAAGGUAAGUCUUA